UACGGGGGGGGCAAGCGUUGUUCGGAAUUACUGGGCGUAAAGGGCUCGUAGGCGGCCAACUAAGUCCGACGUGAAAUCCCCAGGCUUAACCUGGGAACUGCGUCGGAUACUGGAUGGCUUGAAUUCGGGAGAGGGAUGCAGAAUUCCAGGUGUAGCGGUGAAAUGCGUAGAUAUCUGGAGGAAUACCGGUGGCGGAGGCGGCAUCCUGGACCGACAUUGACGCUGAUGAGCGAAAGCUAGGGGAGCAAACGGG
rnacentral:rRNA from 1 species